rnacentral:rRNA from 1 species
GGGACCCGCACAAGCAGUGGAGCAUGUGGUUUAAUUCGAAGAUACGCGCAGAACCUUACCAACACUUGACAUGUUCGUCGCGAGACUAAGAGAUUAGUCUUUUCAGUUAGGCUGGACGAAACACAGGUGCUGCAUGGCUGUCGUCAGCUCGUGUCGUGAGAUGUUGGGUUAAGUCCCGCAACGAGCGCAACCCCCUACUUUUAGUUGCCACCAUUCAGUUGGGCACUUUAAAAGAACUGCCAGUGAUAAGCUGGAGGAAGGUGGGGAUGACGUCAAGUCCUCAUGGCCCUUAUGUGUUGGGCUACACACGUGCUACAAUGGUACUUACAAUGGGAUGCAAAGAGGCGACUCUUAGCUAAUCCCUAAAAUGUACCUCAGUUCGGAUUGUACUCUGUAACUCGAGUGCAUGAAGCUGGAAUUGCUAGUAAUCGC